GGUCAAGCGAAUAAGUGCAUAUGAUGGAUGCCUUGGCGAUUACAGGCGAUGAAAGACGUGUAAGCCUGCGAAAAGCUACGGGGAGCUGGCAAUAAAGCUUUGAUCCGUAGAUAUCUGAAUGGGGAAACCCGGCCCUUUGGGUCAUUCCUGACUGAAUACAUAGGUCAGGUAAAGCGAACUCAGCGAACUGAAACAUCUAAGUAGCUGAAGGAAAAGAAAUCAACCGAGAUUCCGUAAGUAGUGGCGAGCGAACGCGGAGCAGCCUGCAACCUUUAGCCAUUCAAUUAAGAGAACAGCUUGGAAAAGCUGGCCAUAGUGGGUGAUAGCCCCGUAUUUGAAAAUUCAGUGGUGGAAAUAGGGUUGGAACAAGUAGGGCGGGACACGAGAAAUCCUGUCUGAACAUGGGGGGACCAUCCUCCAAGGCUAAAUACUCGUAAUCGACCGAUAGUGAACCAGUACCGUGAGGGAAAGGCGAAAAGAACCCCGGAAGGGGAGUGAAAUAGAUCCUGAAAUCGUAUGCAUACAAACAGUGGGAGCGGACUUGUUCCGUGACUGCGUACCUUUUGUAUAAUGGGUCAGCGACUUACAUUCAGUAGCGAGCUUAACCGAAUAGGGGAGGCGUAGGGAAACCGAGUCUGAUAAGGGCGAUAGUUGCUGGGUGUAGACCCGAAACCAAGUGAUCUAUCCAUGGCCAGGAUGAAGGUUGGGUAAAACCAACUGGAGGUCCGAACCCACUAACGUUGAAAAGUUAGGGGAUGAGCUGUGGAUAGGGGUGAAAGGCUAAACAAACUUGGAAAUAGCUGGUUCUCUCCGAAAACUAUUUAGGUAGUGCCUCACGUAUCACUCUCGGGGGUAGAGCACUGUUAUGGCUAGGGGUCUAUUGCUGAUUACCAAACCAUUGCAAACUCCGAAUACCGAGAAGUGCGAGCGUGGGAGACAGACAUCGGGUGCUAACGUCCGGUGUCGAAAGGGAAACAACCCAGACCGCCGAUUAAGGUCCCCAAGACAUAGUUAAGUGGAAAACGAAGUGGGAAGGCUAAAACAGUCAGGAUGUUGGCUUAGAAGCAGCCAUCAUUUAAAGAAAGCGUAAUAGCUCACUGAUCGAGUCGUCCUGCGCGGAAGAUGUAACGGGGCUCAAACUAUGCACCGAAAUCGCGGAUAUGUACUUGUACAUAUGGUAGGAGAGCGUUCUGUAGGCCUGCGAAGGUGUUCUGUGAAGAAUGCUGGAGGUAUCAGAAGUGCGAAUGCUGACAUGAGUAGCGAUAAAGGGAGUGAAAGGCUCCCUCGCCGAAAACCCAAGGUUUCCUGUUCAACGUUCAUCGGAGCAGGGUGAGUCGGCCCCUAAGGCGAGGCUGAAAAGCGUAGUCGAUGGGAAACAGGUUAAUAUUCCUGUACCUCAAUGUAAUGCGAUGUGGGGACGGAGAAGGUUAAGCAAGCUGUCUGUUGGAAUAGGCAGUUUAAGCGUGUAGGGAGAUUUCUUAGGCAAAUCCGGGAGAUCAAUUCUGAGGCGUGAUGACGAUGCACUUAGGUGCAGAAGUUGCUGAUACCAAGCUUCCAAGAAAAGCCACUAAGCUUCAGUUAUAUUGAGACCGUACCGCAAACCGACACAGGUGGGUAGGAUGAGAAUUCUAAGGCGCUUGAGAGAACUCGGGUGAAGGAACUCGGCAAAUUAGCACCGUAACUUCGGGAUAAGGUGCGCCCCGGUAGAUUGUAGAGACUUGCUCUCGAAGGUCGAUGGGGUUGCAGUGAAAUGGUGGCUGCGACUGUUUAAUAAAAACACAGCACUCUGCAAACACGAAAGUGGACGUAUAGAGUGUGACGCCUGCCCGGUGCUGGAAGGUUAAGUGAUGGGGUGCAAGCUCUUGAUCGAAGCCCCAGUAAACGGCGGCCGUAACUAUAACGGUCCUAAGGUAGCGAAAUUCCUUGUCGGGUAAGUUCCGACCUGCACGAAUGGCGUAACGAUGGCCACACUGUCUCCACCCGGGACUCAGCGAAGUUGAAAUGUUUGUGAAGAUGCAAUCUCCCCGCGGCUAGACGGAAAGACCCCAUGAACCUUUACUGUAGCUUUGCAUUGGACUUUGAACAGAUCUGUGUAGGAUAGGUGGGAGGCAUUGAAGUAGGGACGCCAGUCCUUAUGGAGCCAUCCUUGAAAUACCACCCUGAUGUGUUUGAGGUUCUAACCUAGGUCCGUAAUCCGGAUCGGGGACCGUGCAUGGUAGGCAGUUUGACUGGGGCGGUCUCCUCCCAAAUUGUAACGGAGGAGUACGAAGGUUCUCUAGGUACGGUCGGACAUCGUACUGAUAGUGCAAUGGCAAAAGAGAGCUUAACUGCGAGACUGACAAGUCGAGCAGGUGCGAAAGCAGGUCAUAGUGAUCCGGUGGUUCUGUAUGGAAGGGCCAUCGCUCAACGGAUAAAAGGUACUCUGGGGAUAACAGGCUGAUUCCUCCCAAGAGUUCAUAUCGACGGGGGAGUUUGGCACCUCGAUGUCGGCUCAUCACAUCCUGGGGCUGUAGCCGGUCCCAAGGGUAUGGCUGUUCGCCAUUUAAAGUGGUACGUGAGCUGGGUUUAAAACGUCGUGAGACAGUUUGGUCCCUAUCUGCCGUGGGCGUUGGAAGUUUGAGGGGACCUGCUCCUAGUACGAGAGGACCGGAGUGGACGAAUCUCUGGUGUACCGGUUGUCAUGCCAAUGGCAUUGCCGGGUAGCUAAAUUCGGAAGAGAUAACCGCUGAAAGCAUCUAAGCGGGAAACUCGCCUCAAGAUGAGACUUCCCUGGGCACUAGAUGCCCCUAAAGAGUCGUUCGAGACCAGGACGUUGAUAGGUCAGGUGUGGAAGCGCAGUAAUGCGUUAAGCUAACUGAUACUAAUUGCUCGUGAGGCUUGAUCCU
rfam:Ferriphaselus amnicola DNA, contig: contig00019, strain: OYT1.